ensembl:Mt_tRNA
CAAAAUGUAGCUUAACAUAAAGCAUUUAGCCUACACCUAAAAGAUUUCAGUUAGCCCUGACCAUUUUGA